UACGGAGGGGGCUAGCGUUGUUCGGAAUUACUGGGCGUAAAGGGCUCGUAGGCGGCUUUGCUAGUUAGAGGUGAAAGCCCGGGGCUCAACCCCGGAACUGCCUUUGAAACUAGAUUGCUAGAAUCCUGGAGAGGUGAGUGGAAUUCCGAGUGUAGAGGUGAAAUUCGUAGAUAUUCGGAAGAACACCAGUGGCGAAGGCGACUCACUGGACAGGUAUUGACGCUGAGGUGCGAAAGCGUGGGGAGCAAACAGG
rnacentral:rRNA from 1 species